rnacentral:lncRNA from 1 species
UGUGGCAGCGAAUUCCGUUCAGUCACCGUUCGCUGGGUUUGGAAAGUGGAACGUUGACGCAGUUCCUCGGCCACGUCAUUCGCCGCUUCGCCUCAACCCGCGACCUCAUUGGCUGAAUAAAUCUCGGUACUCACGUUCUAAAUUUUCGACGUUGCGUUCUAUUUAUAUUUUGUUUUUAUUAACACAGUUUUACCUAGUUCUUUUUCGAGGUACGUAAAAUAUUUAUCUUACAAUUUAUUCUUCUUGGUUUAAAUAUCGAUAGAAAUUAAUAUGUAUGAAUAAUCACUUAUUUGCUAAACAGGAUGGUUAUAAAUGGUAUUUUCCAACAUUAAAAAACCGAUACACAGAUUCUUCAGAGAUCUUGACAACUGUUGUUGCCUGACAAAAUUUUAUCCAAUUUUGAUGGACACCCUGAGCUAAGCAGAAGUUGAUUUGGAAGUGCUUCAUAAGCGCGAUGCUAAUUCCAUCGCGUUCAGAUGGAUAGAGAAGAUUACUAAGAA